UCCACAAAAUAUAAAAAAAAAAAUUCAAAUAAACAUUUAACAAUUUUCACACUGACAAUUAACCCCGGUCAAGUAGCAUUACUUAAGAUCCACUCCCCAGAAACCUUCGAGAUAUCAGAUAAGGAGUGCCUCUCGCUUAGUUGGUCAGUUUCAGUGUCAGGAUAACCUUGUUAUGCAAUUUUCUUGCUAGGCAGAGUAUAGCUGUUUGCAGCUUAUCUAGGUCAAAAUUUGAAUUCAACUGAUGAACAAGAAGUGCGCGUCUCCUUGCUGUUCAUAUUUAAUGUGUUUUCAAGCGAUAUACACAAGGAUUAAGGCUGGAAUACCAACUUCUGCUCAUUCGUCGUAAGGUUCAAUCAACAGUUGUGCAGGGGAUUGGUUGUAUAGUCUGCCUUGAUUGCAUCAGAUUCUGCCUUGAUUGCAUCAGCUUCUUCGCCCGGGAAAAUUAUACAAAGGAAUGCGACAUUUUGCUUUUGCUUUAGAGGGUGGAUUCCCCUGCUCAUUUCUUUAAUUCGUUGGACUUAACUAUGGGACUUAUCUAUAUGCGCGAUUAGAAUCAAUGGAUCCGCCACUUUGUGGAACUUAGUAGUGUAAGACAGACGCAUACUUUGAAGAAACUGCAUGGAUGUGAUUACUGUGGCCCCCUUUUCACUAGUAAUAUAAAUUUUGUCAAGCAGUGAUUGAGAUUGAGAUUCAGUGAUUGAAUCCGAAUUUGUGUUUGUCUUUAAAAUACAGACUAAAAUAAAU